rnacentral:rRNA from 1 species
CCUACGGGAGGCAGCAGUGAGGAAUAUUGGUCAAUGGUCGGGAGACUGAACCAGCCAAGCCGCGUGAGGGAGGAAGGUACAGAGUAUCGUAAACCUCUUUUGUCAGGGAACAAAGGCGGGGACGUGUCCCCGGAUGAGUGUACCUGAAGAAAAAGCAUCGGCUAACUCCGUGCCAGCAGCCGCGGUAAUACGGAGGAUGCGAGCGUUAUCCGGGUUUAUUGGGUUUAAAGGGUGCGCAGGCGGUCUGUUAAGUCAGCGGUAAAAGCCCGGGGCUCAACCCCGGCCCGCCGUUGAAACUGGCAGUCUCGAGUGGGAGAGAAGUAUGCGGAAUGCGCGGUGUAGCGGUGAAAUGCAUAGAUAUCGCGCAGAACUCCGAUUGCGAAGGCAGCAUGCCGGCUCCACACUGACGCUGAGGCACGAAAGCGUGGGUAUCGAACAGGAUGAGAUACCCUUGUAGUC